rnacentral:rRNA from 1 species
GCUGAACUUAAGCAUAUCAAUAAGCGGAGGAAAAGAAACUAACUAGGAUUCCCUUAGUAGCGGCGAGCGAACCGGGAUCAGCCCAACUUGUAAAUCAUUAGCCUUUGGCUAAUUGAAUUGUAGUCUCAAGAUGCGUUCUCUGCGGUGAGCAGUGCCCAAUUUUCCUUGGAAAAGGGAGUCAGAGAGGGUGAGAACCCCGUCGGCACUUGCUUUAACUGCUCCACGAGGCGCUUUCUCAGAGUCGGGUUGCUUGGGAAUGCAGCCCUAAGUAGGUGGUAAAUCCCAUCUAAGGCUAAAUACUGACGGGAGACCGAUAGCGAACAAGUACCGUGAGGGAAAGAUGAAAAGAACUUUGAAAAGAGAGUCAAAAGUGCUUGAAAUUGUUGAGGGGGAAGGAAUUGGAAGCCGUUUGUGCACCUGGGCUUAUGUGGGCAAUUCUGCCUUCUGUAUGCUCUAGGAGCCGGUCAGCAUCGGCUAUCAGACCGGGAUAAUAACUCUACUUUGUGGAGUGCAUGCCGGCUUGGUGGCUGAGGAAUUGCAAGGCGCAGUAGUCCUUCGGGAACGGCACCUUCAAGAUGCUGGCAGAAGGCCUUCAAUUCGCCCGUCUUGAAACACGGACCAAGGAGUCUAACAUGUAUGCGAGCCGGUGGGUUUAACACCCAUGAGACGCAAGUAACCUGACUGGUGGGAUGGGUAAUACCUGCACCAUCGACCGACCAUGAUCUUCUGUGAAAGGUUUGAGUACGAGCAUACCUGUUGGACCCGAAAGAUGGUGAACUAUGCCUGAGCAGGGCGAAGCCAGAGGAAACUCUG